GCUCACUCCUCAGCUGCAGGAGCCAGACAUGUGGAGUCCCAGCAGAGGCCAACCUGUGUCUCUUCAUCUCCGUGAGAAAGGUGCCCCCGAAGUGAAAGAGAUGGCCUGGUGGAAAGCCUGGGAGAAUGAAUAAACAGACUAGGUUGAAUCCAUACAAUGGAAUGGUAGCAGACAAUAAAAAGAAAAUGAACUAUUGAUGCCCCCUACUGCACAGCAGAAGCUCUGAAUCGUGUUCCUGAAUGAAAGAAGUCAGAUGGUGUCAGAGCAGAUCUGAAGUAGAGCUUCUAACGACUCCCAGGAGUGCUGAGUGACCGAAGCCAGGUACCUGCAGGACCUAUUUGUGUUCGUUGAUCUCUCAGAGCAGUUGGAAGUCAUG
ensembl:lncRNA novel transcript